rnacentral:rRNA from 2 species
GAUUGUGUGCUUGCAUCAUGAUUUACAUUUGAGUGAGUGGCGAACUGGUGAGUAACACGUGGGAAACCUGCCCAGAAGCGGGGGAUAACACCUGGAAACAGAUGCUAAUACCGCAUAACAACUUGGACCGCAUGGUCCGAGCUUGAAAGAUGGCUUCGGCUAUCACUUUUGGAUGGUCCCGCGGCGUAUUAGCUAGAUGGUGGGGUAACGGCUCACCAUGGCAAUGAUACGUAGCCGACCUGAGAGGGUAAUCGGCCACAUUGGGACUGAGACACGGCCCAAACUCCUACGGGAGGCAGCAGUAGGGAAUCUUCCACAAUGGACGAAAGUCUGAUGGAGCAACGCCGCGUGAGUGAAGAAGGGUUUCGGCUCGUAAAACUCUGUUGUUAAAGAAGAACAUAUCUGAGAGUAACUGUUCAGGUAUUGACGGUAUUUAACCAGAAAGCCACGGCUAACUACGUGCCAGCAGCCGCGGUAAUACGUAGGUGGCAAGCGUUGUCCGGAUUUAUUGGGCGUAAAGCGAGCGCAGGCGGUUUUUUAAGUCUGAUGUGAAAGCCUUCGGCUCAACCGAAGAAGUGCAUCGGAAACUGGGAAACUUGAGUGCAGAAGAGGACAGUGGAACUCCAUGUGUAGCGGUGAAAUGCGUAGAUAUAUGGAAGAACACCAGUGGCGAAGGCGGCUGUCUGGUCUGUAACUGACGCUGAGGCUCGAAAGUAUGGGUAGCAAACAGGAUUAGAUACCCUGGUAGUCCAUACCGUAAACGAUGAAUGCUAAGUGUUGGAGGGUUUCCGCCCUUCAGUGCUGCAGCUAACGCAUUAAGCAUUCCGCCUGGGGAGUACGGCCGCAAGCUGAAACUCAAAGGAAUUGACGGGGGCCCGCACAAGCGGUGGAGCAUGUGG